rnacentral:rRNA from 1 species
CAAGCAUUUUCAACCGCAACAUGGAGCGGGAGUAGACCCUCUAUGACUUUAUUACCGACUGUGCGCACAUUGGCUGAUGCACCGUGGCAAAACAGCAAUUUGAUCAUGCCAACAGAGAACCUUUCAGCAGCUUCAUGGAGGGGGAAGUAUCCAUAUUGGUUGAUGCAGUUGGGAUUAGCAUGCAUCCCAUUGAGUUCAGGAGCCUUGCCCUCCAAUACAACUUUCGCAGAUUGUAAGGCGCUAUGAUUGGCCAUGUAGGUCAAGGUUUCCGCGGUGAUGGUCAGAUUCCAAUGCAUGCACGCCACACUCUCAAAAAGGCGUAGGAAGUGUCGGACACUGUCCUUCUCCAAGGUGCAACCUCCAAGCGGGGAGCUAUCUCAUUGA